UAAAGGAGAUCGAACUAAAGCAGAAGAAAAAGAAACAAGAUUGAAGGAAAAGAGAGGAGAAAGAGAGGAGCAAAAAAGUCACGUUUGGGUAAGAAAAACAUUGUUUAUUAAUUUCUAACUAAAUUAUCCACCAAGUAGCUACAAAUAGAAUAAGAUUCUUCUUAUCAUAAAAACUUUUUCGCUAGUGGGUUUUAAAAGUACGUAAGUUUUAUUCAAACUGCUAACUUUAUGUCCAAUCGUUUUAAAGUUUGUGAAUUGUAUCAAAAAUUGUCACCCUUACCUGCAAGUCGGAUUCCAAAAUAUUCUAAGCACACGUUGGUGCAUAUGGAACUCACAAACCAAAGGCCCAAAUGAUUCAAGCACACUGAUUUUGAAUAAAAUAAUUUCCCUAAAUUGAAUUUAUGAGUUUGAUCCAUGUUUUGAUUAGUUGCGUGGCGUCCUCCCUUUUGUUUUUUUGUCCUCUAUUUUUUCGUCUUUUCUUUCUUUUUCUUUUCUCUUGGAGGCCUCGGCUGCUUCC
rnacentral:lncRNA from 1 species